rnacentral:rRNA from 1 species
CAGUAGCGUAUAUUAAAGUUGUUGCGGUAAAAGCUCGUAGUUGGAUUUCUGUUGAGGACGACCGGUCCAUACCAUGUAUGUGCAUCUGGUUCGGCCUCGGCAUCCUCUCGAAGGCCGUUUCUGCGCUUCAUUGCGUGGGACGGAGUUCGGGACUUUUACUUUGAGGAAAUUAGAGUGUUCACGGCAGGCAAUCGCCAGAAUACAUUAGCAUGGAAUAAUAGUAUAGGAUCUCGGUUCUAUUUUGUUGGUUUCUAGAACAGGGAUAAUGAUUAAUAGGGACAAUUGGGGGCAUUCGUAUCAACACGUCAGAGGUGAAAUUCUUGGAUUGUGUUGCGACGAACUACUGCGAAAGCAUUUGCCAAGGAUGUUUUCAUUGAUCAAGAACGAAAGUAAGGGGAUCGAAGACGAUUAGAUACCGU